rnacentral:rRNA from 1 species
UCUAUUAGAUGUACCUCUCUGAACAUGCCCAGUUUCAUCUGAUCUCAGAAGCUAAGCAGGGUCGGGCCUGGUUAGUGACGUAGGCUUGAGGAGAA